rnacentral:rRNA from 1 species
UACGAAGGGGGCUAGCGUUGUUCGGAUUUACUGGGCGUAAAGCGCACGUAGGCGGAUCGUUAAGUCGGGGGUGAAAUCCUGGAGCUCAACUCCAGAACUGCCUUCGAUACUGGCGAUCUAGAGUCCGGAAGAGGUGAGUGGAACUCCUAGCGUAGAGGUGGAAUUCGUAGAUAUUAGGAAGAACACCAGUGGCGAAGGCGGCUCACUGGUCCGGUACUGACGCUGAGGUGCGAAAGCGUGGGGAGCAAACAGG